AUAGUACUAGAGCCGAUUUACGCAAUCGAAUACCGCCGGAAGUAGAACAUUUAUGUCAACACCGGUUUCGUAUUUUCACGUGAAAUCGGCCGAAAACUGAGAGGUUAUCAACAAAUUAUAAGUUUACGGGUACCAUGCGGAUUUUUCAUGCAUUUAAACGACAGAAGUACAAGUGAACAGAUGACACAUUAAAGUGGCUGCAGAAGCUUGAAAAGUUAGAUAGAGCAGGGACAGUCAAAACUGUGGGAUAAUACUUCUGUGGUGUCCAGCAUGUCUAGUCAGGUUGACAGAGUGAAAGAUGGUCUGAUGGUACAAUGAUGUACAAAUGAUACUCUUUAACAAGUUUAACAUGUCAAAGUGUAAAAUGUUCUGUGGAUUCAUAUGAUGAGAAUGCCAAUGUUGAUCUGUAUGACUUAAUUAAACAUAGAUAUUUAUACCUUCAGAUAUAUACCUGUGAAAUCUUCAGUGUCACCGUUCAGCUAUUGUUCAAGAUCAGUGUCUGCAGCUUGCACAGUUUAGUAUAGAGGAACCUUCUGAAUCAAUUUUGUUACCUAUUUGCUGUUAUUGUAGGACGCAUAUGUAGAGAGCAACAAGUCCUGUCCAACUGUGCAUGUAAAUGUGAUUCAGAAACUUUGAGAAUAUGUAAACAUUACACUGUUAUAAUUUUCAAAAUACUGUGUCUUGUAGUGUAUCAGUACUGUUUUGUCUCAGUUUAUAGCACAGUAUGUUCACAAA